GGAAUAUAAGAACCCGUCUCUUAACUUUUAACUAAAAAAAUUCAGAACCGGUUCUUAAAUCUCUUAUUUAAGAGCCGGUUCUUAGCUUUUUUAGUUAAAAGUUAAGAGACAUGUUCUUAUAUUAC
rfam:Brassica napus, WGS project CCCW01000000 data, contig: 15149